rnacentral:rRNA from 1 species
AGACCCGAAACCCGGUGAUCUAGCCAUGGGCAGGUUGAAGGUUGGGUAACACUAACUGGAGGACCGAACCGACUAAUGUUGAAAAAUUAGCGGAUGACUUGUGGCUGGGGGUGAAAGGCCAAUCAAACCGGGAGAUAGCUGGUUCUCCCCGAAAGCUAUUUAGGUAGCGCCUCGUGAAUUCAUCUCCGGGGGUAGAGCACUGUUUCGGCAAGGGGGUCAUCCCGACUUACCAACCCGAUGCAAACUGCGAAUACCGGAGAAUGUUAUCACGGGAGACACACGGCGGGUGCUAACGUCCGUCGUGAAGAGGGAAACAACCCAGACCGCCAGCUAAGGUCCCAAAGUCAUGGUUAAGUGGGAAACGAUGUGGGAAGGCCCAGACAGCCAGGAUGUUGGCUUAGAAGCAGCCAUCAUUUAAAGAAAGCGUAAUAGCUCACUGGUCGAGUCGGCCUGCGCGGAAGAUGUAACGGGGCUAAACCAUGCACCGAAGCUGCGGCAGCGACACUGUGUGUUGUUGGGUAGGGGAGCGUUCUGUAAGCCUGUGAAGGUGUGCUGUGAGGCAUGCUGGAGGUAUCAGAAGU